rnacentral:misc_RNA from 1 species
GGCUGGAUCUCCUACAGCAAAUGUUGAUAUAUGAUCCAGCCAACAGGAUAUCUGCCAAAAAGGCACUGAAUCAUAUUUACUUUGCAAACCUUGACAAGUCAGCCUUACCGGCCUCCACCAUCACGAGUUAGGAGUCUUUCCUACAAUCUUCACAAACUAGGAGUCCUUCCUACAGCCUUCCAUCUCAUCACUGGGACCAAACACACUGACUUGUCAUCUUCACUGCUCACUUUUAGCUCCUGUAUUUGUUACAUGUAUUGUACAUCCCACCCAAACAUAAAAUCUACUUAACUCUGUUGCUUGAAAUAGGUAUAUAUAUGUACCACUACAAACUGCUGUAAGGGCAGAUAUAGUCGGUCAUUCUACUAGUGCUGUGAACAUUUUGUUUGUCUGAGUUUAUUGUCAUUUGUUAGGAUUUUAAAAUGGUAUUAGAACAGUGAAGAAAGGACAAUAGACAUUAUAUGAACAAUAUAUAAAUAAUAUGAGUGAAAACAUAAUGUUGCAGUGUUGGAUUGCUCAGGUUUUUCUGCUCGUUCAUUAGUUUUAUUUUAUAUUUGUCUGACUUAAUGAGCGUCAACCAAAUCUAUAAUCAUGCCGUGAUUAUGUUUUUGAAUAUUAAUCACAAUCAUAUGCUGUGCAAAAUGUUUAAGUAGAAAGCCUUGAGUGUAUAGACUUGUGUUAAAUGUCAAAUUGAAUGAGAAAUAUGUUGUUUAUUGUAUAAGAUACUGCACAGUCCACUACUCUAUUUUUCUUUCUAUUCUUCUCUCUGUCUUCUAACUUAUUGUAAUAAUUUAAUGGGAUAUUGAAGUGCUGUCAAAUGAAAAAAGAAUAAGUUGUUGAGGUCAAGGUGAGACCUGACUGAGUAUUGAUUCUGAAUUAAAUAUAAAAAUCAUAUAUACCAUAAUUUUGAUCAAGUCAAUGGUUUAUGUUGUGAGAAACUUCCUCCUUUAAUAAUCCAUCCACCAAUUGUGUUCAUUUUAGAUGUUGUUUUGGUACAUUGUGUAUUACAUGUAGAUAGCUUUCUCUUCAUAUACUGUGUUACAUUUAUAGUGAACAAACUUUUUAAAAAUGCAAACACAACAUUUCAAUUAAGGCCAUACAAUAAAAAAAAAUAGUAAAAAGCU